rnacentral:lncRNA from 1 species
ACAUAGUUGAAUUCUAAAAAGUUAAAAUGUUACAGCAGGAAAUGGGUAAUAUAUUUUGGAACAUCCAUACAUUGAAACACUAUGUGGCUACUAAAAAAAGAAUGUGUUACAGCUGCACAUACUAACAUGGAAGUUCUAAACUUUAACGUCAAGUUAAAAUUUAAAAGAGGGAGCAAAAAAGAUAAAAGACAUAUUUACAGACAUGUUAAGUACAUAAAAAGAUGCACAUUAAACCGUUAACUGUGGUCACACUUCUGGACAGCAAAUGGGGAUGGGGUUGGGAAAUUGAGGGGGAAUGUACAUGGCAUUGUUUACUGGAUGUACUUCCAUACUUUUACAUGUUUAAAAAGUCACAAUUACUGAAAACUUCAUAAUUUUUCAAAAACAGAAAAAUGAGAUGACAUGAUGACAUUCAUGUUUUUUUGGUUUGCAACUUUCUAGAAGUUUCUAUAAAACAGGUUUUCUGAGACAUCUCCACGUUGAUUUCAACCACUGAUAAUCAGUUAUCUGGGACUAAGUAGUGAAGGUUCACUGUGAAUCAGCACCAUGAAGGCUCUAAGAAAAAACAGAGGGCAUUGGACAAUUCCAAAUGUUCUGGUAAAAGCUUAAAUAUCCAGUCAUCGUGAUAUAUUUGGUUUUCUUUCUACAGAAGUAAAAUAUUUUAACAUUGUAACAAACCUACCAGUGUUCACAAACACAAUCAGAAGAUUUUACUGUAUUCUUAAACUAGCUUAAAAAAAUAAAAAUAAAAAAAAGGUCCAUCUGUCUCUUAGAAGAACAAACUCCCCCAACAAAAAACAAAACAAGGCCAGGAGCAGUGGUUCACACCUGUAAUCCCAGUACUUUGGAAGGCCAAGGCGGGCAGGAUCACUUGAGGUCAGGAGUUCAAAACCCACCUAGCCAACAUGGCAAAACCCCGUCUCUACUAAAAAUACACAAAUUAGCUGGGCAUAGUGGUGCAUGCCUGUAAUCCCAGCUAUUUGGGAGGCUGAGACAGGAGACUUACUUGAACCCAAGAGGCAGAGCUUGCAGUGAGUCGAGAUUGCACCACUGUAGUCCAGCCUAGGCGACUGAGGGAGACUCUGUCUCAAAAACAGAAAAAAAGGCAGGGUGCAGUGGCUCACACCUGUAAUCCCAGCACUUUGGGAGGCCGAGGCAGGCGGAUCACGAGGUCAGGAGAUCGAGACCAUCCUGGCUAACACGGUGAAACCCCACCUCUACUAAAAAUACAAAAAAUUAGCUGGGCCUGGUGGCACAUCCCAGCUACUCGGGAGGCUGAGGCAGGAGAAUGGCAUGAACCCAGGAGACGGAGCUUGCAGUGGGCCAAGGUCGUACCACUGCACUCCAGCCUGGGCAACAGAGCGAGACUCCAUCUCAAAAAGAAAAAUUAGCCAGGCAUGGUGGUGGGCACCUGUUACUAGGGAGGCUGAGACAUAAUAAUGGCUUGAACCCGGGAGGCAGAGGUUGCAGUGGGCAGAGAUCACACCACUGCACUCCAGCCUGGGCGACAGAGGGAGACUCUGUCUCAAGCAAAACAAAACAAAACAAAGGACAACAACAACAAAACAAUGAAAAUCACCAAGAGGGUAGGAUAAGGGGCCAAAGAGUCUGUUAGACUGGAAAGCAACACUGUAUGUCCUAUGGAUUAACAUUUACACAAACAUUAACUCCACUAAUGGACAGCCUUUUCUACUCUUCAUCAUUUUGUUUAGUUUAUCUGGCAAGAGGGAUGCAAAACAAACCCAAGAAGAAACAGGGAACAUCGCUAGGGUAUACACAAUUCUCCCAACUCAUAAACCACUAGGGUAUUGGGAAACAACACUCUACAUCCUGGCUCUCAGGGAUUUCCCAAUUCUGAAAAUCCCACAUUGCAAUGGCACAUAUCACUUGGAAUGUUACAAAGGGGAUUCAUUGUGUUACGUUAAAACUUAGCCCCAUACACAGUAAUUUUAAGUAUAAGGCUAACACAAAAACAAAUUGACCAACUUCAGAAGCACUUCUCUUAGAUGAAGACAUCAGUAUGUCUUUUCUUCUAUGCAACAUGCUCCUGGAAUAACUCUUCCAAGGAGUCAUCCUUUUCAAAGACCAGAGGAAAAGCUGUCAAACAUCGCACAAGGCAGAGUGUGUACACACACUGCCCUAACACACCAAGCAGUCUUAUUCCAGGUUUUCCCAAGGCCAGUCAAUACAGACUUUCCAGCCAAGCCUAUACUCCCAGGUCUGUCUUGGCCUCUCCCCAUCCAAGACUCUUGAGUUUCCUGAAGCACCCUCCCAGAACCUGAUAUCUGAUAAUUGAUUAUCCAUAAAAAUGCUUACUGGAUAGAUGAAAGAGAUGAUGCAUUAUCAGAAGUGAAUGAAGCUCGGUAUGACUGAAGCAUAGGGUCUGCAGGAGAAAGUUGCAGAUGAGACCAUCUGGCAAGUGGACACAGUUAAAGGUUUUAAGCAGAGUGGCAGAGUAUAUUUCCAUUCUGUGAAAGGUUAGCUGGCUCUCCUGAAGACAGCAAGGACUGAAAAGCAGACAAGGCUGGAAACAAGGAAAGUGGCUUAAGGCUGAAAUGGCUGUGCAGAAGCUUUGCUGGUAGCCUGAAAUAGGACAGCAGCAGGGUAAAGGACAGAAGUCUGGGACAAAGGACACCAUCCAUGGGAAUGCAGGACCACGAGAAAUGAAGAGGCAGGACGGAGUGCCAAGGAACACUAUCAUUUACAAGCCAAAUUCAGGAGGAAAGGGGAAAAGGAGAAUGUAGGGGUGGGGUCAGGGAGGAAGAGGAAAGUCAACCAAGUGUGGUGUCAUGGAGGCCAAGGGAAGGGAACAUCAAGGAUGGAAAAAUCCAAAAUGUAACCUCUGUCAGUGCUGGGAAAAAUAGUGAAUUUUGUUUCCUUCCUCAUACUUUAUUUUCCCAGGAUCCUCAAUAACAUGCAGUUUAUUAUUAAUCAGAAAAAAAAAUCUGUUUAAGAAAAUUACAAAAAUCUGUUAUGAUACCCUCAUAAAUUAAAGAGCCACAGAUAGUGUACUAUCCAUAGGGCAUGUGUUUUGAAUUUGUUUUCUGGGUCUGGUGACGGAUUAGUACUGAUCUUUCUAUCUGCUCCGGCCUCAUGACCAGUGAUACAUAUUGCCCAGCCUCCUGGCCAAGGUCUGGGAUCCCAGCAGAGCAGAGCUGGCUGACCCAUACACAGAUGGCCCAGUGACCUUGGGUUCAUUAGCAUACUGUUCUAAUCAAGUGAGCUAACCAGCAACAGACCUGGCCUACUUUGUCCCACUUCCCACCACUACUGAGGCCAAAGUUCCUCAACUCUGCACCAUUUCCUAUAAACAAGAGAUUGCCUAUAAACAUCCACAGAUACAGGAGGUCCAAGGCUCACCAAAAAUAUUUGUUCAUUGUUUCUAAAUAGGAUUUAUGUUUACUUACAAGCUAUCUGCCCUGGCGAAAAGAAGUGUAUCAUUAAUAAAAAUGGCGACAGCCACUGAGCCAGCAUAGACAGCAAUCAAUGACCCACUGCCUGUUGUUCUGAUGACAUCAAAAGGAGAGGAGGGGGUGGGGGAGGAGGGGGCACGACAAAAAUAAAUAUUUCUAAGGUCAACAAAGAUUUAAGAAAUAACACUCUGGCUGGGCACGGUGGCUCACACCUGUAAUCCCAGCACUUUGGGAGGCUGAGGUGGGCGGAUCACCUGAGGUCAGGAGUUCAAGACCAGCCUGGACAACAUGGCAAAACCCUGUCUCUACUAAAAAUACAAAAUUAGCUGGAUGCGGCUCACGCCUGUAAUCCCAACACUUUGAGAGGCUGAGGCAGGCAGAUCAUGAGGUCAAGAGAUCGACACCAGCCUGGCCAACAUGAUGAAACCCAGUCUCUACUAAAAAUACAAAAUUAGCCAGGCGUGGUGGCACAUGCCUGUAGUCCCAGCUACUCAGGAGGCUGAGGCAGGAGAAUUGCUUGAACCUGGGGAGGCGGAGGUUGCACUGAGCCGAGAUCAUGCCACUGAACUCCAGCCUGGGCAACAGAGUGAGACUCUUAAAAAAGAAAAAAGAAAUAAUGUUCUAACAUUCUAACCUUGUGCCACUUUCUUGAUGCUCCCCACCGCACCAAAUAUUGGUAUUUAUCUUACAGGAUUCACCUGUGAUAGCACUCUUCUUGGAGCAGGCUGAGAGUAGCUAUCAUUCUCUCUACUUACAAAAUUUGAAAAGUAUAGGGGUUAUUUUACUUGACCUCAAGGGAUCCAGAAAGAGAUGCCCACUCUCCUUCCAGAGAGAGAAAUAGGGAUCAAUUCGAACAAUGCUGGCCAGGCAUGGUGGCUCAUGCAUGUAAUCCCAGAACUUUGGGAGGCCAAGGUGGGAGGAUUGCUUGAGGCCAGGAGUUUGAGACCAGCCUGGCAAAAACCUAUCUCUAUUAAAAAAUACAAAAAUUAGCUGGGCAUAGUGGUGCAUGCCUGUACUCCCAGCUACUCAGGAGGCUGAGGCAGGAGAAUCACUUGAACCUGAGUGGCAGAGGCUGCAGUGAGCCAAGAUGGUGCCACUGCACUCCAGCCUGGGCAACAGAGCAAGGCUCUGCCUCAAAACAAACAAACAAACAAAAACAAUGUCAAUUAGAAAAGUCCAGCCUGCUUAAAAAACUGGAAUGUGUUCCAGACACCACCUUGGACUUCAGUGGCCCCAUCUUUUUAAGUGAGGGUGUUAAACAAAUACGGUUCUUGGGUGACCUUCCAGCUCAAAAGGCCUAUGAUAGCCUAAAUCGAUGUCAUUAUACUGACAACCUGGGUAGGAGGGAAAAAUCUUGGAAAGUAGCUUUUGAAUAUGUAAAUGUCCAUGUUUACAUACUAUUGUUGGAAAUGUCUGUUUCAUGAGAAGUUAACAAACUUUUAUAGACCUCUCUAUUGAAUAUGUGUGGAUUUUAAUUCAUUGGUUUAAAAAAAAUGAAGUACUAUUGGAAUGUUUUAUCUACUAUUUUUCUCUCCUCCUCAAUACAGCACUUAAAAAAGAAUGAACCAACUUCAAAUAAUUCUUGGGAUAAGUAGCCUAUCUUUCCAGGAAAAGAAAAUGUAAGAACUUAACUUGGACUGGAGUAUCUCUGUUUAAAUGGAUUUUACUAUAAUUGGUUUUGAGAGGGCAAGAACCAUGGAGAUGAGGUGCUAAAAAUAGAUGUAGUAAAGUUGGGGGGAAAGUACGUGCGAGACUGACACUAAUAAUUACAAAAAAAAAAAAAAGUAGUGUCAUUCCUAUUAAAAUAAGAAACCUGAGCCCAUUCCGGGAACAGUCAUGGACUGCCACAGUCAUCUGGGCUCAGGGCUGGCCCUGUUCCCCACAAAGGUCCCUCAGCCUCAGUGGACAGCCUUAUAAGGCAACCAAGCUCAGAGAGAAGAUAAGAACACCAAGCACUUAACAUUUCCAGAGGCCUCUGCAAAUAUUAACUCAUUAAUUCUCACAGUGUUCUGUGAAAGCCCUGCUACUAUCAGUUCCAAAAGACACUGGGGAAGAAAGAUGCCUAAUUACAACUAAUUAUAGCAAGGUGUGUAAGGAGCUGGCAGCCCUUCCUAGUAGGCACCAUGUUCACCACCAGACAAGCCUCGACUUUGUCAGUAACUGAACAAACACUUGCCUACUAUGGGACAGAAAGGAGGAGAAACAUUU